ensembl:lncRNA
AAGAAAGAAACUAAUACAGGUUUGGAACAACAUGCGGAAAAGCCCCAAAAAGAAAGAAAACCUGACAAUGGACACAUAUCUGGAUGGCCUGAAGAGGAUGGUAUGGACUGUCAAAGAGAACUGAGCUUGUACAAAGGCACUUCUGUGCUCCUAUUGGCCAGUGUCAUAGCUGUGAUGGAACUGAGGAGCGUCUCGCUGCAGCCUGCGGUGGACAUCCAACCCGGCCCACAUCCAAGUGUGACGUCACAGACCACGCCCAUGUCAAAAUACGUCACAUUCUCAAUCAUUUUGAAACAGGAAGAAGCAUCGAUAAGAAGAUAAUUUGUAUUGUUUGCCAACCGCUAAAAAAAGAAGCUGUUGUUUGCCGUGUCGGAUUCUACACAUUUUCAGUCCAAGCCUGAUGCAGGGCAGUUCUCCCGGGUUAAGGGGUCCCUGCUGCAGUUUCACCAGUAAAGAAAAUUACUUGUUACAGUUCACUUGAAGGACCACAUAAGCCAUGCAGUGGUGCAUGGAGGAGCGCCAAGAGGACAUAAAGUGGAAGUUUGUAAGGGACAUUGGUCCAGCGUGGUACAGAGUCAUCGUAGGUUAUUCUGUGGGGAGGUGACAGGGCCUGCCGUUCUCCAGAUGGACAGUAAAAAUCAACAGAAUGCCAUCAAAGACUACCUGGAGGGAGAAUCGGAGGAUAUAUUGAAGCAAGGAAUCUCUCUGUGUAGUCUAUGUAUGUAUGUGUGUGUACUGCAUGUCAAGAACUGUUUAUCUGAUCAUUCAGCUGCUCAGACUUUAUAAUAUUUGGAGCAUACCUUUUGUUAAACAACCAGUCAAAAGUUUUUGAACAGUGAGAUUUUUUUAUGUUUUUAAAGAAAUAUCUUCUGCUCAUCAAGCCUGCAUUUAUUUAAUCCGAAGUACAGCAAAAACAGUCCAAUUUUAAAAUAUUUGUAUAAUAUUUUGCUUUUGUAAUAUAUUUUGCUAUUUAAAAUAACAAUUUUCUAUAUUUCUAUUAAAAUGAAAUUUAUUCCUGUGAUUUCAAAGGUGACUUACUCCAGUCACAUGAUCCUUCAUUCUAAUAUGCUGAUUUGAUGCUCAAAAAACAUUUUAUUAUUAUUAUGUUAAUACACUGAAGACUGGAGUAAUGAUGAAGAAAAUUCAGCUUUGAUCACAGGAAUAAACUGCAUUUUUAAAAUACAUUCAAAUAGAAAGCAGUUCUUUUAAAUUGUAAAAAUAUUUCACAUUACUGUUUUUGCUGUGUUUUUGGAUCAAAUAAAUCCUGGCUUGGUGAGCAGAAGAGACUUUAAAAAAUAAUAAAAAUCUUACUGUUCAAAAACUGGUGGUGUAUAUUAUUAUUAUUAUUAUUAUUAUUAUUUGUAAAAUUGUACAUGUAAUUAUUUUUGUAAAAUAAUAAAUAUAAAAAUA